rnacentral:rRNA from 1 species
GACGAACCGUGCGAACGUUAUUCGGAUUCACUGGGCUUAAAGGGCGCGUAGGCGGAAUGGCAAGUCGGUCGUGAAAUCCUUCGGCUCAACCGAAGAACGUCGAUCGAAACUGCCGUUCUUGAGGAUUGCAGAGGAGACUGGAAUUCCCGGUGUAGCGGUGAAAUGUGUAGAGAUCGGGAGGAACACCGGUGGCGAAGGCGGGACUCUGGGCCGAUACUGACGCUGAGGAGCGAAAGCGUGGGGAGCAAACAGG